UGGGGGAUAUUGCACAAUGGGCGCAAGCCUGAUGCAGCGACGCCGCGUGAGGGAUGACGGCUUUCGGGUUGUAAACCUCUUUCGCUACUGAACAAGGCCCUGCUUGUUGUGGGGUUGAGGGUAGGUGGAUAAGAAGCGCCGGCUAACUACGUGCCAGCAGCCGCGGUAAUACGUAGGGCGCGAGCGUUGUCCGGAAUUAUUGGGCGUAAAGAGCUCGUAGGCGGCUUGUCGCGUCUGCUGUGAAAACGCGGGGCUUAACUCCGCGCGUGCAGUGGGUACGGGCAGGCUAGAGUGUGGUAGGGGUGAUUGGAAUUCCUGGUGUAGCGGUGGAAUGCGCAGAUAUCAGGAGGAACACCGAUGGCGAAGGCAGGUCACUGGGCCAUUA
rnacentral:rRNA from 1 species